GACGGAGGGUGCUAGCGUUGUUCGGAAUGACUGGGCGUAAAGGGCGCGUAGGCGGCCGCUUGCGUCGGAUGUGAAAGCCCGGGGCUCAACCCCGGAACGGUAUCCGAUACGGGGCGGCUCGAGACCGAGAGAGGUGAGUGGAAUACCCAGUGUAGAGGUGAAAUUCGUAGAUAUUGGGUGGAACACCGGUGGCGAAAGCGGCUCACUGGCUCGGUUCUGACGCUGAGGCGCGAAAGCGUGGGGAGCAAACAGG
rnacentral:rRNA from 1 species